rnacentral:rRNA from 1 species
UAGUCGCGUAAGCGUAAAUUGACAGGGACGAGUGGUAUCCUGAGUAGGGCGGGACCGGAGAAAUCCUGCUUGAAUCUGCCAGCACCAUCUGGUAAGGCUAAAUACUCCUCAGAGACCGAUAGUGAACCAGUACCGUAAGGGAAAGGUGAAAAGCACCCUAAACAAGGGAGUGAAAUAGUACCUGAAACCGUGCGCCUACAAGCGGUCGGAGCCUCGAUUUAUCGGGGUGACGGCGUGCCUUUUGCAUAAUGAGCCUACGAGUUGCUCCUCACUGGCGAGGUUAAGUUCGAAAUUAACGGAGCCGUAGCGAAAGCGAGUCCAAAUAGGGCGUUUAGUCAGUGGGGGCAGACGCGAAACUUUGUGAUCUAUCCAUGGGCAGGUUGAAGGUACGGUAACACGUCAUGGAGGACCGAACCCGUUAACGUUGAAAAGUUCUGGGAUGACCUGUGGAUAGGGGUGAAAGGCCAAUCAAACUGAGAGAUAGCUCGUUCUCCCCGAAAUGUUUUUAGGAACAGCCUCGGAUUAUGAAGUAUGUUAGAGGUAGAGCUACUGAUUGGGCUAGGGGGCUUCACCGCCUACCAAACCCUGACAAACUCCGAAUGCUAACAUAUAUCUCCGGGAGUGAGGCUGCGGGCGCUAAGGUCCGUGGCCGAGAGGGAAAUAACCCAGAAUAGCAGCUAAGGUCCCUAAUACGUAGCUAAGUUGAUCAAACGAGGUAGGACUUCUAUAACAGCCAGGAUGUUUGCUUGGAAGCAGCAAUUCAUUUAAAGAGUGCGUAACAGCUCACUGGUCGAGAGGUCCCGCACGGAAAAUAAUCGGGCAUCAAGCUACGAACCGAAGCUCUAUGAUUGCCACUUGGUGGUAUAUCGGUAGGGGAGCAUUGAAACAGCAUCGAAGGUGACCGGCGACGGUUGCUGGAGCGGUUUCAAAAGAAAAUGUAGGCAUAAGUAACGAUAAACAAGGUGAAAAACCUUGUCGCCGAAAGUCUAAGGGUUCCUGAUCAACGUUAAUCGGAUCAGGGUUAGCCCGGUCCUUAGCCAAACCCGAAAGGGGCAGGUGAUGGAAAGCAGGUUAAUAUUCCUGCGCCUGCUAUGCAUUAAAAGUGACGGAGAAUGCUAGUCGUAUAAGCUGACGGAAUAGCUGAGUGGAUCCUUCGGGUGAAGCGUAACGAUGAAAGUUCUUCCAAGAAAAGCGAGCAUAGCAGCCGGUACCGCAAACCGACACAGGUAGACGGGAUGAAUAUUCUAAGGCGCUCGGGUGAGCCGUGGAGAAGGAACUAGGCAAAUUGACGCUGUAACUUCGGGAUAAAGCGUACCCACUUCGGUGGGUCUCAGUAAAAUGGUUCAACCAACUGUUUAACAAAAACACAGGGCCCUGCAAAAUCGAAAGAUGACGUAUAGAGCCUGAUACCUGCCCGGUGCUGGAAGGUUAAGGAAGGGUGUUCGGCGCAAGCCAAAGCUCCUGACUGAAGCCCCAGUAAACGGCGGCCGUAACUAUAACGGUCCUAAGGUAGCGAAAUUCCUUGUCGGGUAAGUUCCGACCUGCACGAAUGGUGUAACGAUCUGG